rnacentral:tRNA from 1 species
AGGGUUGUAGCUCAGUGGUAGAGUGCUUGCUUGGCAUGUGCAAGGUCCUGGGUUCAAUCCUUAGUACCCCCG